GGCGUGCGAUACAGGGUGACAGCCCCGUACACAAAAAUGCACAUACUGUGAGCUCGAUGAGUAGGGCGGGACACGUGGUAUCCUGUCUGAAUAUGGGGGGACCAUCCUCCAAGGCUAAAUACUCCUGACUGACCGAUAGUGAACCAGUACCGUGAGGGAAAGGCGAAAAGAACCCCGGCGAGGGGAGUGAAAAAGAACCUGAAACCGUGUACGUACAAGCAGUGGGAGCACGCUUAGGCGUGUGACUGCGUACCUUUUGUAUAAUGGGUCAGCGACUUAUAUUCUGUAGCAAGGUUAACCGAAUAGGGGAGCCGAAGGGAAACCGAGUCUUAACUGGGCGUUAAGUUGCAGGGUAUAGACCCGAAACCCGGUGAUCUAGCCAUGGGCAGGUUGAAGGUUGGGUAACACUAACUGGAGGACCGAACCGACUAAUGUUGAAAAAUUAGCGGAUGACUUGUGGCUGGGGGUGAAAGGCCAAUCAAACCGGGAGAUAGCUGGUUCUCCCCGAAAGCUAUUUAGGUAGCGCCUCGUGAAUUCAUCUCCGGGGGUAGAGCACUGUUUCGGCAAGGGGGUCAUCCCGACUUACCAACCCGAUGCAAACUGCGAAUACCGGAGAAUGUUAUCACGGGAGACACACGGCGGGUGCUAACGUCCGUCGUGAAGAGGGAAACAACCCAGACCGCCAGCUAAGGUCCCAAAGUCAUGGUUAAGUGGGAAACGAUGUGGGAAGGCCCAGACAGCCAGGAUGUUGGCUUAGAAGCAGCCAUCAUUUAAAGAAAGCGUAAUAGCUCACUGGUCGAGUCGGCCUGCG
rnacentral:rRNA from 1 species